UUGCCGGAUGUUGAUACACGAAUUCCGAGGGAAUGUAGUAUUGUGGAGCGGCCACGCAUAAUCCUAUCAUGGCCAUAAGCAAGAUUAUUACGUUCAUAUUUACCUAAAAUUCUGGAAAAGAAUAAACUCCAACUAAUUUGAGAGUAAUAAAAAAUUUGAACGGAAUUUAUGUUGGCUGAGACACCAUUCUAAUCCAAAGUUUAUGUAUGUAUCUAUCCUGUAUGUACGCUAGUGCAAUAUUCAAAAUUCCAUUAAAAGACACAUUUUUUCACGUUUGCACACAAGGAAUCAUAUAGUAGUGAUUCGUGAACUAUCAAAGAAGCAAUGAACACAUAAGUAAGAGAAAGUUCUUACAAUAAAAAUUUAGCUUAUUUUAGUUUAUAAUUAUUACUUGAAAUAAAAAUGUGAAAGCCACUCUAUAUCCACAAUGCUUCAAAAUACAAGAAAUUUGUUCGUUAUGAUACACUUAAAUCCUACAUAAUGUAAAACUAAUAUAUAAUUUAAUUUGGGAUUUAAAAUGUUGAAAAGAUUUAAAAAGUUUUAUUUCUAUUUUUUCUAUAAUGUAGGACAUAAAGUAGCAUUUUAGAAAAAGGUAGAAAUAACAUUUUUCAUAAUACAAUUUAUGGUCUUGGCAGUUAUCAUUUCCCAUUUAUACACUCGCCACUAUCCACCAAAAACUCAUCGUCAGUCCAAGAAAUCAAUUUCAAAAACUGGUGAAGGUAGCAAUAGCCAACUGCUGCGACACUAUUAUAAAUACUAAACACGAAAACUGUAACAGAGUUAUUCUCGUAAAUUUUGAUCUGUGCACACAAUUUUUAUUAUGCACGAAGUAUGUGUCGAACCACUGAUUCGCGUGCCAGAAAUUACGUUGAAUAUCUUUAUCCUCCAUAACGUCUAUUUGCAUCCUUUAUGUAUAUAUUUCAGUCAGAUCUCGUGCUCCACGACUUUCUGCGCAAAUCCACUCACCUUACGAAUACAAUACUGAAUCCACAAGAUCUAGUUAUUUCUCUCGCGCGUGUCUAACUGAAUACAAGAUCCGUUACAGUGUUACUUAUAUAGUAGCCGCCACUUCAAUACAGCUUGCUAUGGUUACCGUGGACGUUUUCUUGAUCAUUAUCCGUGUUCUGGCUCGUUCUGUCGAGCUUAUGUCCCCGACGAGGUCAUUCGUUUCCUCUUUGAGGCGUUUCAAGGGUGAGGAUCCCUUCGAGCUGACUGAUCACCACUCGCCGCCGUUUAUCCGCGACCUUCCUCAUUCUUGUGCGCUUUAUUCGCUUUGCUUCGCUCCUCAGUGACGGAGACCACGAUAUUAGACACUGGAUACGCGAUAGACUCUAUCCGGUAGAUUUUUCUCGUUAGCGUGUUUCGGGUCACGCGACAUUCGAUAGAUCCAAUUGCUAGCUAAGUAAGGCAAAGGAAAAUAUUAUCACAGUGGCUACAAAAGGGAGUACUACUCCCUGGGGAUAUUUUAUAUAUCUCUGCUCAUCAUGCGACAUCUCGUGAUCCAGUCGCUGUUGAUUAGAAAGUAGUUAAGAAUUCGUCGACAUCGACUUUGUAAUUUGUACUAUGGAUCGUUACAAGUCAGUAAAACACAAAAGUCCAGUGAAUUACAUUGGAUGGCUAUUCUGAAACUGUCCUUUCGGUUUUCACUUUGUUUGGGAGAAUAAUUCAAUAGGCAUGGCCGAUUCAUCGAUCUACGCACAGUGAAUUUGUUAAACGUCCCAUUAUAAAAACGAUCCUCUGGUUCAAAUCGAUGUGUACCGUGAGAUUUGAAAUUAAAAAUAUAAUUUUAAUAAAAAUCGAAACUGAUUUGGAGAAAUCUUGAAGAUCUCAAUUAGAAUUUCUGAAGAAGUUUAUAUUGAAUAUCAAACUGUUCUAUAUUUGUUAAUAGAACGUCUAUAAUUCAACGAGGGUUCACUAAACUGUUACUGUGCCGGUUUGCUGCAGUUUCAACCGCCCACAUAUUUGAAAGAGACAAGGGAACGGAUAUAUGUAUAAUGGUAUUUAGGUCAAUGUUACGUCCUUAUAAGCAAUAACCAGAGGCAGUGGUUACCCUUGUCGGAACAAACUCACCGACUAUAGGAAGUCGUCGUUUUUCAGCUUAUUCUGAAUAAUGCAUACACGUAAGUCAUUGGCAGAUGAAAGGCGUAAAAUAAAAGUUCUACCAGCGAAAGGAAGUUAUGUAAGUAUACGAGAGACCUUCCUCUUCAGCAUAUUACAAUUAAUUACAUACAUAUUAUCUUUCACGAGAUCACAUAAGAAGUGCAUGAAUUGGGUCAUAAAAACAUUUUAUGACGUUCGAUGAGAUGCAUUGAACGCAUGUACAUGUAAUUCCUUGACCUUGCAUCGUGUUUUACUUAUACAUUUACAAUUUACUUAAUUAGUUAACUUAAAUUUUUGCAUUAAUUUUUUACAUUAAGUUUCUUUAAUUUUCUUUGAAGAAAUUGCUAAUUGUAUCUUGUGUUGGAAUAUUCGAAAUUUGAUUUGAUUUCUUUAUUAAAGUAAAACAAAACUUAAUCAAUUUUAUAUUUAAAGUUUCUUUGAGUUUCUAAAUUAGGUGUUAGUUAUCUUAUAUGAGAAUAUGAAAAGUUGUAAGUUUCUAAAUUUAAUUAUAUCUAAUAAUUUUUAUCUUCUUUAAGUUUUGAAAAAGAUCUAUAAAAUUUCUUCUGUAAAUUUAUGUAACUAACAUAUAAGUUUCAAAUAUCGUUGUGAAGAUUGCUACUAAUUAAAAGCUUCAUUUGCCAAAUUUAUUUCCUAAAAAGUAAUUCCUAUUAUUCGAAUAUCUUUUAAAUAAAAAUUUCAACAUAUUGAUUCUUAAACCCUAUAUUCACAGGCAAACAAAAGAAGAUUUACUCUCGAAACUUUCAUGUGCUAUAAGUAACAGGUUUCGUGACAAAUAAAACAAUCGCAUAUCACUUCCGUCUUUUAUAUAAACAUCUUUUAAAACACGUAUAAAACAGAAAUACAAGAACGUUAGGGAACUAAGAUCACAAGUCAUCAAACGAUUCAGUGGUAAUAUUCAUAAGCUGGCGAGAUGGUCUUCUGAUAAACUGGAACAGCAGCAUGGGCAAUCGUUGGUGCAAAAGCUUUUCCGACCACCGGUACAG